rnacentral:pre_miRNA from 1 species
AUUAAGCUCAUUUUUCAGUUUUUAGAUACAUUGUUUUGACUCUUUGGCUUAUUUGAAAUAUUUCCGUGAUUAAUAAUUUUACUGCUACUGGAUUGUAAAACAUAAAUAGUAUUUUAUGUGUGACUAAUUUUUUUAAGUACUUUACAAAUUUUUUAAAUAAGACGAAUGGUCAAAGUGUUGGACACAUAAAUCGAAAAAUAAAGUUAUU